rnacentral:rRNA from 1 species
UACGUAGGGGGCAAGCGUUAUCCGGAAUUACUGGGUGUAAAGGGAGCGUAGACGGUAAUGUAAGUCUGGAGUGAAAGGCGGGGGCCCAACCCCCGGACUGCUCUGGAAACUAUGUUACUAGAGUGCAGGAGAGGUAAGCGGAAUUCCUAGUGUAGCGGUGAAAUGCGUAGACAUUAGGAGGAACACCAGUGGCGAAGGCGGCUUACUGGACUGUAACUGACGUUGAGGCUCGAAAGCGUGGGGAGCAAACAGG